GAACCUUAGCAGAGCCUACUACGAGGUGAUUAACAGGAUCCAAGACCGUGAAAUGCUGCUCUUUAACCACAGGAGCAGCCCUGAACUCAAACAAUUGCACCAGAAUUUGACAAACAGAAGUGGUUCUAGCUGUCACCAUCAUUACCACCUCAACUAAAAUGACUGAAUCAGCAUCAGGAACCUGUGGUAACAUUUUGUUUGCACGUUGAUCCCGAGUGGGGUCAAACCUCUCCGUUUCGCAACGGCGGAGGUGCACAGCGGCUUAAGGAUGAAGUUAAAGGUUCAGUCGACAGCUCCCAAGGGUCGCGACUGCCUCAUUAUUUCUGCUUCCUCACUGCACUCCGCGGGCCACAGCUUGGGAGGGAGUCAUCUGUGUCCGAUUCAUAAUUCAUGCAUCUGGCUGACUGCUCCUCUCUGGCACAUGUAAACAGCGUGACAUGCCCAGCAGCUUAAGAAGACCCCCAAAGAAGCAGCUUCACAUUCACACGACAUUUAUUAGCCUUAUCAGCAAUGGGCCAGUUCAGAGUGAGUCCAUCGACGCGGGUCGCGGGCUGCUGGAGCAUAACCCAGCUAUCUUCGGGCAGGAGGCAGGGUACACCCUGAACCGGUCGCCAGCCAAUCGCAGGGCACCUAGAAACAAACAACCAUUCGCGCUCACAUUCACAUCUACGGGCAAUUCAGUCUUCAAUCAACCUACCACGCAUGUCUUUGGGAUGUGGGAGGAAGCCGGAGUGCCCAGGGAAAACCCA